rnacentral:lncRNA from 1 species
UAACCCCUACCCACCUCUCCUCUUCCUUCCUCCCUCCUUUCCUCACUACCGUCGCCACCACUUCCGUAUUCCCUCGCCGUCGCGGUUCUUUCACCGUCAAAGCUGCCCGUGGCAAAUUCGAACGCAAAAAGCCCCACGUCAACAUCGGCACCAUCGGCCAUGUCGACCACGGCAAAACCACCUUAACUGCCGCUCUAACUAUGGCCUUAGCCUCCAUGGGUAACAGUGCCCCAAAAAAGUACGACGAAAUUGAUGCCGCCCCUGAAGAGCGUGCCCGUGGUAUCACCAUUAACACCGCCACCGUUGAAUACGAAACCGAGAAUCGCCAUUACGCCCACGUCGACUGCCCAGGGCACGCUGAUUAUGUCAAAAACAUGAUUACCGGAGCUGCCCAAAUGGACGGUGCUAUCUUGGUUGUUUCCGGAGCCGACGGACCCAUGCCCCAGACUAA